rnacentral:rRNA from 1 species
AUUGAACGCUGGCGGCAGGCCUAACACAUGCAAGUCGAGCGAGCGGCGGACGGGUGUGUAAUGUCUGGGAAACUGCCUGCAGGAGGGGGAUAUAUACUGGAAAAGGUAGGUCAUAUCGCAUACCAUCAGAUGGGCCCAGAUGGGAGUAGCUAGUUGGGGGGGUAACGGCUCACCCAGGCGACGAUCCCUAGCUGGUCUGAGAGGAUGACCAGCCACACUGGAACUGAGACACGGUCCAGACUCCUACGGGAGGCAGCAGUGGGGAAUAUUGCACAAUGGGCGCAAGCCUGAUGCAGCCAUGCCGCGUGUGUGAAGAAGGCCUUCGGGUUGUAAAGCACUUUCAGCGGGGAGGCGUUACCCGCAGAAGAAGCACCGGCUAACUCCGUGCCAGCAGCCGCGGUAAUUC